rnacentral:rRNA from 1 species
CCUACGGGAGGCUGCAGUAGGGAAUAUUGCUCAAUGGGGGAAACCCUGAAGCAGCAAUGCCGCGUGGAGGAUGAAGGUUUUAGGAUUGUAAACUCCUUUUGUUAGAGAAGAUUAUGACGGUAUCUAACGAAUAAGCACCGGCUAACUCCGUGCCAGCAGCCGCGGUAAUACGGAGGGUGCAAGCGUUACUCGGAAUAACUGGGCGUAAAGAGUGCGUAGGCGGGUUAAUAAGUCAGAUGUGAAAUCCUGGAGCUUAACUACGGAACUGCAUUUGAAACUGUUGGACUGGAGUGUGGGAGAGGUAGGCGGAAUGUAUGGUGUAGCGGUAAAA